rnacentral:rRNA from 1 species
UGGGGAAUUUUGGACAAUGGGGGAAACCCUGAUCCAGCCAUCCCGCGUGUGCGAUGAAGGCCUUCGGGUUGUAAAGCACUUUUGGCAGGAAAGAAACGUCGCGGGUUAAUACCCCGCGAAACUGACGGUACCUGCAGAAUAAGCACCGGCUAACUACGUGCCAGCAGCCGCGGUAAUACGUAGGGUGCAAGCGUUAAUCGGAAUUACUGGGCGUAAAGCGUGCGCAGGCGGUUCGGAAAGAAAGAUGUGAAAUCCCAGAGCUUAACUUUGGAACUGCAUUUUUAACUACCGGGCUAGAGUGUGUCAGAGGGAGGUGGAAUUCCGCGUGUAGCAGUGAAAUGCGUAGAUAUGCGGAGGAACACCGAUGGCGAAGGCAGCCUCCUGGGAUAACACUGACGCUCAUGCACGAAAGCGUGGGGAGCAAACAGGAUUAGAUACCCUGGUAGUCCACGCCCUAAACGAUGUCAACUAGCUGUUGGGGGCCUUUCGGGCCUUGGUAGCGCAGCUAACGCGUGAAGUUGACCGCCUGGGGAGUACGGUCGCAAGAUUAAAACUUAAAUGAAUUGACGGGGGUCAUAGCUGUUU